rnacentral:rRNA from 1 species
CCAAUAGCGUAUAUUAAAGUUGUUGCAGUUAAAAAGCUCGUAGUUGAACUUCGGGGUUUACCCAUUGGUCAGGCUUAAUUGUCUGUACUGGUGAGAUAAAUCUCUACCUUCUGAGGAACUUUCAUGUCAUUAAUUUGGUGUGAUGGGAAAUCAGGACUGUUACUUUGAAAAAAUUAGAGUGUUUAAAGCAGGCUAACGUCUGAAUACAUUAGCAUGGAAUAAUGAAAUAGGACGGACUGAUUCUAUUUCGUUGGUUUCUAGGAUCACCGUAAUGAUUAAUAGGGAUAGUUGGGGGCAUUAGUAUUCAAUUGUCAGAGGUGAAAUUCUUGGAUUUAUUGAAGACUAACUACUGCGAAAGCAUUUGCCAAGGAUGUUUUCAUUAAUCAAGAACGAAAGUUAGGGGAUCGAAGACGAUCAGAUACCGUCGUAGUCUUAACCAUAAACUAUGCCGACUAGGGAUCGGACGAAGUUAAUUUUAUAAUGACGCGUUCGGCACCUUACG